UAGCAAGUUUACAAAUUUUUC
rnacentral:piRNA from 1 species